AAGUUGAUAAGGAAAAACUAUCUAAACAAUAGUCUUUACAUAAGAGAGAGUAGUCAUCUUCCUAAAAGCAUCAACAAAGAACAUAUUUUGGCUAGUGAGAUUACAGGUAAAAUAGUUAAAAAGAAGAAAUAUACAAUUUAAGUAUGUAAAUAACAAUUCAUGAAUGAUAGACUAACUUAGAUUAGUUGAUUGGAAAAUGACAAUGCAUGUAUGUAAUUGACAUGCAAGCAAAGCCACACUUAGUAAUAAU
rnacentral:lncRNA from 1 species